GUAGUUAUAUCUUAGUGGUAGAGCACAUGAUUGGUACACAAGAGAUCCUGGGUUCAAUCCCUAGUACCUCCA
rnacentral:tRNA from 1 species